GACGAACGCUGGCGGCGUGCUUAACACAUGCAAGUCGAACGGAAAGGCCCUGCUUUUGUGGGGUGCUCGAGUGGCGAACGGGUGAGUAACACGUGAGUAACCUGCCCUUGACUUUGGGAUAACUUCAGGAAACUGGGGCUAAUACCGGAUAGGAGCUCCUGCUGCAUGGUGGGGGUUGGAAAGUUUCGGCGGUUGGGGAAGGACUCGCGGCUUAUCAGCUUGUUGGUGGGGUAGUGGCUUACCAAGGCUUUGACGGGUAGCCGGCCUGAGAGGGUGACCGGCCACAUUGGGACUGAGAUACGGCCCAGACUCCUACGGAAGGCAGCAGUGGGGAAUAUUGCACAAUGGGCGGAAGCCUGAUGCAGCAACGCCGCGUGCGGGAUGACGGCCUUCGGGUUGUUAACCGCUUUCGCCUGUGACGAAGCGUGAGUGACGGUAAUGGGUAAAGAAGCACCGGCUAACUACGUG
rnacentral:rRNA from 1 species